rnacentral:rRNA from 1 species
UACAGGGGGCUCGAGCGUUAGUCGGAAUCACUGGGCUUAAAGGGUGCGUAGGCGGCUCGUCAAGUGCUUUGUGAAAUCCCACAGCUCAACUGUGGAACAGCAGGGCAAACUGACGAGCUUGAGGCAGGUAGGGGCCGGAAGAACAGUAGGUGGAGCGGUGAAAUGCGUAGAUAUCUACUGGAAUGCCGAUGGGGAAGCCGUCCGGCUGGGCCUGUCCUGACGCUAAGGCACGAAAGCGUGGGGAGCAAACAGG